rnacentral:rRNA from 1 species
AUACGUAGGGGGCGAGCGUUGUCCGGAAUGAUUGGGCGUAAAGGGCGCGUAGGCGGCCCGGUAAGUCUGGAGUGAAAGUCCUGUUUUUAAGAUGGGAAUUGCUUUGGAUACUGUCGGGCUUGAGUGCAGGAGAGGUAAGUGGAAUUCCCAGUGUAGCGGUGAAAUGCGUAGAGAUUGGGAGGAACACCAGUGGCGAAGGCGACUUACUGGACUGUAACUGACGCUGAGGCGCGAAAGUGUGGGGAGCAAACAGGAUUAGAUACCCUGGUAGUCCACACCGUAAACGAUGAAUGCUAGGUGUAGGGGGUAUCGACCCCUUCUGUGCCGCAGUCAACACAAUAAGUAUUCCGCCUGGGGAGUACGGCCGCAAGGUUGAAACUCAAAGGAAUUGACGGGG